rnacentral:lncRNA from 10 species
GCUUUCCUAUCCAGGACCCUGCUGCCUCUGACCGCACCCCAAGCCUUCUCUGCUGCUCACAUGGGCUCCUCUCUCCUUUGUGCUUUUUGCCUUCUGUCCCCACUGCCUGGAAAACGUUCCCCUCACAUUUUGCAUGGCUGCUGCCUUCUCAUCACAGAGGUCUCAGGUCAACCAUCACUACCCCCAGGAGGCCUUCCUUGACUGCCCUAUCUCCUGUCACUGGCCUCCACUACCAGUCACUGCCAUGUUCACUUCCUUUUGUUGUCAUCUAGCACCUGUCCCUGUCUGAAUUGUAUCAUUUAUCUGUUAUUAUUUGUUUAUUCUGUUCCUGCCUGUCUCCCUGAGGCCAGGGACCUUGUCUGUCUUUAUUACUAUGCUGACCCUGGUGCUCAGCACUUAAUAAAGAAUCAUUAAAACAAAAUGAAUGAAGGACACUAAAGGCUGUCAUAGAAGUUACUUGGACAACACCACCCACCCCUGGGGGGUGGGGUGGUGGGAACUUGCUUGGUGAUGGCAACAAACAAACAAACACUUUCCCCUUCCCACUUCUCUUCCGGUAUUCCAGACAGGAGGAAUAAUGUACUGAUCUGCUGACAUUAAGAAGGACCCUAUUUUCAGAUUACUUCUUCAAAGGAGCAGCAUCUACAUUGGCAAGAUUUUUGAAAAAAUUGGAUUCCUCGGCCAGGAGUGGUGGCUCACACCUGUAAUUCCAACACUUCGGGAGGCCGAGGCGGGCAGAUCACCCGAGGUCAGGAGUUCGAGACCAGCCUGACCAACAUGGAGAAACCCUGUCUCUACUUAAAGUACAAAAUUAGCCAGGUGUGGUGGCGCAUGCCUGUAAUCCCAGCUACUCAGGAGGCUGAGGCAGGAGAAUUGCUUGAAUCCGGGAGGCAGAGGUUGUGGUGAGCCAAGAUCACGCCAUUGCACUCCCCCCUGGGCAACAAGAGUGAAACUCCAUCUCAAAAAAAAAAAAAAAAGAAAAAAGAAAAUUGGAUUCCUCAAUCCAGGAUCUCUUGCAUUUGGAGAACUUUAGGCUUUCAGCUGUUGCAUGCCUAGGCCUUGUCAUAAUCCAAUAAAGCAGGAUAUGGAACGGGAUAUUGGAUAUGGAAGGGGAUAGGAUUGGUGGAUGAAACAGAGAAAGGGAGAGAGAGACAGAAAACACACACACACACACACACUCUGAGAGAGAGAGAGACACACACAGAGAGAGAGAUUCCGCUGUAACAAACUCUUGGAAGACAGAAAGAGGAGGCAAAGGAGAGGAAGGGCCAGUGACAGCUCUGCUGCUCUGAAAGUCAAGGGGCCCUUGGCUCACUGCCUUCCCCGUCCUUCCCUGGGGCCAGGUGCGCUGGAAUCCUAGAUUCCCUGGGAGUGAGGGUAGGUACCAUGACGGCAUGAAGUCACCUCCCACCACCUUCAAGACUUCCCACUGCCAGUCUGUAGCCUGUGUGUUGAGUCCUGGUCCAACCCUGAGUCACCCGUGUGAACUGGGGUCAGUGAUUGGUCUCUAGUUCUCCAUCUCUCCAUCUGAAGAAUGUGAAUAAUAAUUUCUGACUUGGCUGUUUACAGGACCGCCGUGAGGAUCCAAGUGCACAGUGAGGUGGGGGGAGGCAGAUACAUGGAUUCCUUUCCACGUGGCCCACAAGAAACACCUGUCCCUCCAGACUCGGGGACCACCAGGGACCUUGAAUAGUUGCCUUGGCAACUCAUUGCCUGGCUAACUCCCACUCCUUUGGGUUUCAGCUUAAACAUCAGUUGUGCAAGAUCUUCUGGACCCCUAAGUUGGGUCCUCCUCUUGUAAGCAUUCAUAGCAUUCUCUACAUACCCUUUACAGCACUUUUAUGAGUUGAAUAGCAUGGUUAUUGGUGUGCUUAUUUGUUUCACACCUGUCUUUUGCACUAAAUUCUAAGCUCUCUGAGGAAAAGGAAUAUGUUUCUGUUGCGUACCAUCUUAUCACCACGUAGCAGUGGGUGCUCCAUAAGAUCCUCCUGCGUGAGUAAGUGAAUUCCCUGCCUCAUCCCUCUCUCAUGCCUUAGCAUGAGGCCUGAGGCCAAGAGCCCGUCCAUCACAUACCCCUUGCCCAAAGCCUCCUUAUAACGGUCAGGAGAAGGGUGGCAUCUCCUCCUCUCCCUUCUAACUCAAGGAACAAAUCACUGGCUACAUGAUAGUUGCCCUUCCUCCCAUCCUUCCAGCAUAGUAGCCCCUGCCCAGGAUCCAAAAGGCAGAAGGUGAGUAAUUGCUAUUUUUAUUUAUCUUUGCACAAGGCUGCCCUCUGGUGGUCGAACAUGUAGGAGCGAAUGGGAAGGAUGGAAACCCCAGUAGCCAGGAACCAGCCCAGCUGGCUGAGCCAACCACGCUCAAGAGACUGGCCAGCGAGCCAGGGAGUAGGUAAGUGCUACAAGAAGCGCAUCUGGGUGAAGAUUCGUGUCAGUUCUCCAUCCUUAUGAAUGGCUCCCUCCAAAUCUAACAGGAGGCCCUGGCCUCAGAAGAGCAGGAAAUGAAGGAAUGCCCUAUAGAAAUCUUACCUACCUCAGCCCCAGUAGGAUGGUGUGCAGGUAGGGGGAGCUGGUUUAAGUAGCUAUUCUUUCUCCUCAGUGGUAUGCAGGCAAACAUUUUACAGUCAGCUCUCAAAAAAGGAAAUCCCAAUUUGUAGUGUUUACCAAUUUCUGUAGUGUAAAUACCCCUACCAUGGCCCAUUUUAAACCACCGAUAUGAUGUCACUGAAUGAGGAGCUGGAAGAGAUGCCCAGUAGCACACCAUUAUCUAGAGUUUCCCCCAUACAGACACCAUGGACAGAAAUAACUUCAAGGGCACGAUUAAUAGUGAAAUAUAGUAAACUAAUUGAAAAUGAU